AUUGAACGCUGGCGGAAUGCUUUACACAUGCAAGUCGAACGGCAGCACGGACUUCGGUCUGGUGGCGAGUGGCGAACGGGUGAGUAAUGUAUCGGAACGUGCCCAGUCGUGGGGGAUAACGUAGUGAAAAUUACGCUAAUACCGCAUACGAUCUAUGGAUGAAAGCGGGGGAUCGCAAGACCUCGCGCGAUUGGAGCGGCCGAUAUCAGAUUAGGUAGUUGGUGGGGUAAAGGCCCACCAAGCCAACGAUCUGUAGCUGGUCUGACAGGACGGCCAUCCACACUGGAACUGAGACACGGUCCAGACUCCUACGGGAGGCAGCAGUGGGGAAUUUUGGACAAUGGGCGAAAGCCUGAUCCAGCCAUUCCGCGUGCAGGAUGAAGGCCCUCGGGUUGUAAACUGCUUUUGUACAGAACGAAAAGGUUUCUACUAAUACUAGGAGCUCAUGACGGUACUGUAAGAAUAAGCACCGGCUAACUACGUGCCAGCCGCCGCCGUAA
rnacentral:rRNA from 1 species